rnacentral:rRNA from 1 species
UUAGUGGCGGACGGGUGAGUAACGCGUGGGAAACCUGCCCUAUGCCGGGGGACAACAGUUGGAAACGACUGCUAAUACCGCAUAAGCGCACAGCAUCGCAUGAUGCAGUGUGAAAAACUCCGGUGGCAUAGGAUGGUCCCGCGUCUGAUUAGCUUGUUGGCGGGGUAACGGCCCACCAAGGCGACGAUCAGUAGCCGGCCUGAGAGGGCGGACGGCCACAUUGGGACUGAGACACGGCCCAAACUCCUACGGGAGGCAGCAGUGGGGGAUAUUGCACAAUGGGCGAAAGCCUGAUGCAGCGACGCCGCGUGAGUGAAGAAGUAUUUCGGUAUGUAAAGCUCUAUCAGCAGGGAAGAAAGGCUCGCAAGAGAGAUGACGGUACCUGACUAAGAAGCUCCGGCUAAAUACGUGCCAGCAGCCGCGGUAAUACGUAUGGAGCAAGCGUUAUCCGGAUUUACUGGGUGUAAAGGGAGCGCAGACGGCCAGGUAAGUCUGAAGUGAAAACCCGGGGCUCAACUCCGGGCUUGCUUUGGAAACUAUUUGGCUAGAGUACAGGAGGGGCAAGCGGAAUUCCUAGUGUAGCGGUGAAAUGCGUAGAUAUUAGGAGGAACACCGGUGGCGAAGGCGGCUUGCUGGACUGUAACUGACGUUGAGGCUCGAAGGCGUGGGGAGCAAACAGGAUUAGAUACCCUGGUAGUCCACGCGGUAAACGAUGAAUACUAGGUGUUGGGAGUCUAUAGGCUUUCAGUGCCGUAGCUAACGUGAUAAGUAUUCCACCUGGGGAGUACGUUCGCAAGAAUGAAACUCAA